GUAGGUGAACCUGCGGAAGGAUCAUUAUUGAAUUAUGUUUCUAGAUGGGUUGUAGCUGGCUCUUUGGAGCAUGUGCACGCCUGUUUGGAUUUCAUUUUCAUCCACCUGUGCACCUAUUGUAGUCUUUGGUUUGGGUAUUGAUGAAGUGGUCAGCCUAUCAGCAUUUGCUGGAUGUGAGGAGUUUGCAGUGUGAAAGCAUUGCUGUCCUUUACUUGGCCAUGGAGUUUUUUGCCUGCCAGAGUCUAUGUCA
rnacentral:misc_RNA from 1 species